rnacentral:tRNA from 4 species
GUCCGCAUAGCUUAGCACCAAAGCA